rnacentral:rRNA from 1 species
UACGAAGGGGGCUAGCGUUGUUCGGAAUCACUGGGCGUAAAGCGCACGUAGGCGGAUCUUUAAGUCAGGGGUGAAAUCCCGAGGCUCAACCUCGGAACUGCCUUCGAUACUGGGGAUCUCGAGUCCGGGAGAGGUGAGUGGAACUGCGAGUGUAGAGGUGAAAUUCGUAGAUAUUCGCAAGAACACCAGUGGCGAAGGCGGCUCACUGGCCCGGAACUGACGCUGAGGUGCGAAAGCGUGGGGGGCAAACAGGG